CCUACGGGAGGCAGCAGUAGGGAAUAUUGGACAAUGGGGGAAACCCUGAUCCAGCCAUCCCGCGUGCAGGAAGAAUGCCCUAUGGGUUGUAAACUGCUUUUAUAAGAGAAGAAACAGAGGGAU
rnacentral:rRNA from 1 species